rnacentral:rRNA from 1 species
UACGAAGGGGGCUAGCGUUGCUCGGAAUUACUGGGCGUAAAGCGCACGUAGGCGGAUCCUUAAGUCGGUGGUGAAAUCCUGAAGCUCAACUUCAGAACUGCCUUCGAUACUGGGGACCUUGAGUUCGGGAGAGGUGAGUGGAACUGCGAGUGUAGAGGUGAAAUUCGUAGAUAUUCGCAAGAACACCAGUGGCGAAGGCGGCUCACUGGCCCGAUACUGACGCUGAGGUGCGAAAGCGUGGGAGCAAACAGG